GACGAACGCUGGCGACGUGCUUAACACAUGCAAGUCGAACGGAAAGGCCCUGCUUUUGUGGGGUGCUCGAGUGGCGAACGGGUGAGUAACACGUGAGUAACCUGCCCUUGACUUUGGGAUAACUUCAGGAAACUGGGGCUAAUACCGGAUAGGAGCUCCUGCUGCAUGGUGGGGGUUGGAAAGUUUCGGCAGUUGGGGAUGGACUCGCGGCUUAUCAGCUUGUUGGUGGGGUAGUGGCUUACCAAGGCUUUGACGGGUAGCCGGCCUGAGAGGGUGACCGGCCACAUUGGGACUGAGAUACGGCCCAGACUCCUACGGGAGGCAGCAGUGGGGAAUAUUGCACAAUGGGCGGAAGCCUGAUGCAGCAACGCCGCGUGCGGGAUGACGGCCUUCGGGUUGUAAACCGCUUUCGCCUGUGACGAAGCGUGAGUGACGGUAAUGGGUAAAGAAGCACCGGCUAACUACGUG
rnacentral:rRNA from 1 species